UACGUAGGGUGCAAGCGUUAAUCGGAAUUACUGGGCGUAAAGGGCGCGUAGGCGGCCUUCUAAGUCGAACGUGAAAUCCCCGGGCUCAACCCGGGAACUGCGUCCGAUACUGGAAGGCUUGAAUCCGGGAGAGGGAUGCGGAAUUCCAGGUGUAGCGGUGAAAUGACGUAGAUAUCUGGAGGAACACCCGGUGGCGAAGGCGGCAUCCUGGACCGACACUGACGCUGAGGGCGCGAAAAAGCUAGGGGUAGCAAAACGGGG
rnacentral:rRNA from 1 species